AUGACGAAACCAAAGAUGAAUGGCGGGAUGGGGUUCCGGGAUAUGGAGCUGUUCAACCUUGCCUUGCUAGGGAAGCAUGGAUGGCGUCUGUUGACAGAGCCAAAUUCAUUAUGCUCCCGUGUUCUGAAAGGACGAUACUUCCCCUCCAACAAUUUUAUGCAGGCUACUAUGCCAAAGAGCUCUUCUGCUACUUGGCGAGCUAUAAUUGAGGGG
rnacentral:rRNA from 1 species